rnacentral:snRNA from 1 species
GGAUGUGAGGGCGAUCUGGCUGCGACAUCUGUCACCCCAUUGAUCGCCAGGGUUGAUUCGGCUGAUCUGGCUGGCUAGGCGGGUGUCCCCUUCCUCCCUCACCGCUCCAUGUGCGUCCCUCCCGAAGCUGCACGCUCGGUCGAAGAGGACGACCUUCCCCGAUAGAGGAGAGGACCGUUCUUCGGUCAAGGGUAUACGAGUAGCUGCGCUCCCCUACUAGAACCUCCAAACAAGCUCUCAAGAGUAUUUCAAUACUGAUUCAAUCAAUAGUAAGAUGACUGUAAGAUAUUCUUUAUAG